rnacentral:rRNA from 1 species
GCCAACAGCCACACCUGAAUGUGCCCGGUGGCGUCUAACCGCGGAAGCUAAGCAGGGCUGGGCCUGGUUAAUACCUGGAUGGAGAAGGACCGGGUGCUGGAGGCU